UCUCCGUUGGUGAACCAGCGGAGGGAUCAUUACCGAGUUUACACUCCCAAACCCCUGUGAACAUACCAUUUGUUGCCUCGGCGGUGCCUGCUUCGGCAGCCCGCCAGAGGACCCAAACCCUUGAUUUUAUACAGUAUCUUCUGAGUAAAUGAUUAAAUAAAUCAAAACUUUCAACAACGGAUCUCUUGGUUCUG
rnacentral:misc_RNA from 1 species